CUAAGGCUUCGUUCGGUUCAGAAAUGAGUAGUAACUAAUUAUACCGGCGAUAAAUACAAGUAUGAAUUUUUGUAAGAAUAAAAAUAUUUUUUUGUUUGGAUGAAAAUGUGAGUAUAACUAUAAGCUGGAACUAGAAAAAUUGCGUUUGGAUGGUUAUUAGAAAUAAGAGAAAUAGUUGUUAGUUAUAAAUAGAAAAUAAUGAUAUUAUCUCUAUAAUUGAUUUUAGAUUUUUAAAUUUUAAAUUUAUAAUUUAAAAUUAAAAAAUUAAAAAUUUUAAAUUUUAAAUUUUAAAAUUUAAAAUUAAAAUUUAAAAUUAUAAUUUUAAAUAUUAAAUUUUAAAUUUAAGACCAAAUUUAAAUUUUAAAAAUAUAAAAUAACAAAUUUAGAAUUUAAAGACUAAAAAUAUUAAAUUUAAAAUUUAAAAAUAUCAAAUUUAAAAUUUAAAUUUUAAAACACUCUUAUCGGGUUAUAC
rnacentral:lncRNA from 1 species